GUGCCAGCAGCCGCGGUAAAACGUAGGAGACAAGCGUUAUCCGGAGUUACUGGGCGUAAAGGGCGUGCAGGCGGCGCAUUAAGUCUGUUGUGAAAGCGCCUGGCUUAACCGGGCGAGGCCAAUGGAGACUGAUGGGCUGGAGGACGGCGGAGGGGUGUGGAAUUCCGGGUGUAGUGGUGAAAUGCGUAGAGAUCCGGAGGAACACCAGAGGCGAAGGCGGCACCCUAAGCCGUACCUGACGCUGAGACGCGACAGCACGGGGAGCAAACGGGAUUAGAUACCCUGGUAGUCC
rnacentral:rRNA from 1 species